rnacentral:rRNA from 1 species
UACGUAGGGGGCAAGCGUUGUCCGGAUUUAUUGGGCGUAAAGAGCGUGUAGGCGGCCAGACAGGUCAGCUGUGAAAACUCUAGGCUCAACCUCGAGACGUCGGUUGAAACCGUCUGGCUAGAGUCCGGAAGAGGAGAGUGGAAUUCCCGGUGUAGCGGUGAAAUGCGCAGAUAUCGGGAAGAACACGCGUGGCGAAGGCGGCUCUCUGGGCCGGUACUGCCGCUGAGACGCGAAAGCGUGGGGAGCGAACAGG